rnacentral:rRNA from 1 species
CUCGAGAGAACUGUGGUUAAGGAACUCGGCAAAAUGCCCCCGUAACUUCGGGAGAAGGGGGACCAGUCCUGGUGACGACAUUUACUGUCUGAGCUGGGGUUGGUCGCAGAGACCAGAGAGAAGCGACUGUUUACUAAAAACACAGGUCCGUGCGAAGUCGUAAGACGAUGUAUACGGACUGACGCCUGCCCGGUGCUGGAAGGUUAAGAGGACCGGUCAGCCACUUCGGUGGCGAAGCUGAGAAUUUAAGCCCCAGUAAACGGCGGUGGUAACUAUAACCAUCCUAAGGUAGCGAAAUUCCUUGUCGGGUAAGUUCCGACCUGCACGAAUGGCGUAACGACUUCUCGCUGUCUCAACCACAGACUCGGCGAAAUUGCAGUACGAGUAAAGAUGCUCGUUACGCGCGGCAGGACGAAAAGACCCCGGGACCUUCACUAUAGCUUGGUAUUGGUGUUCGGUUCGGUUUGUGUAGGAUAGGUGGGAGACUGUGAAACUCGCACGCCAGUGUGGGUGGAGUCAUUGUUGAAAUACCACUCUGACCGUAUUGGACAUCUAACCUCGGACCAUGAUCUGGUUCAGGGACAGUGCCUGGUGGGUAGUUUAACUGGGGCGGUUGCCUCCCAAAAAGUAAUGGAGGCGCCCAAAGGUUCCCUCAGCCUGGUUGGCAAUCAGGUGUUGAGUGUAAGUGCACAAGGGAGCUUGACUGUGAGACGUACAUGUCGAGCAGGGACGAAGGUCGGGACUAGUGAUCCGGCACCGGCAAGUGGAAGCGGUGUCGCUCAACGGAUAAAAGGUACCCCGGGGAUAACAGGCUGAUCUUCCCCAAGAGUCCAUAUCGACGGGAUGGUUUGGCACCUCGAUGUCGGCUCGUCGCAUCCUGGGGCUGGAGUAGGUCCCAAGGGUUGGGCUGUUCGCCCAUUAAAGCGGCACGCGAGCUGGGUUUAGAACGUCGUGAGACAGUUCGGUCUCUAUCCGCCGCGCGCGUAAGAAACUUGAGGAAACCUGUCCCUAGUACGAGAGGACCGGGACGGACGAACCUCUGGUGUGCCAGUUGUUCCGCCAGGAGCACCGCUGGUUAGCUACGUUCGGAAGGGAUAACCGCUGAAAGCAUCUAAGCGGGAAGCCUGUUCCAAGAUGAGGUUUCUCACCACCUAGCGUGGUUAAGGCCCCCCACAGACCAUGGGGUUGAUAGGCCAGAACUGUAAGCACAGCAAUGUGUUCAGGUGACUGGUACUAAUCGGCCGAGGACUUAC